UUGUCUCCCCAGGAGUUCCCUCAGCAGAGUAGAGCAGGGACCCUCCGCCAGACGCCCGCCGAGCACACGGUCCAGGUUUUGGAGUCCCGACAGCCUGCGUUCUCCCCAUCAGUGUCGUUAUGAUGCGCGUGCCUCUCGCCAUGCGUGAAGUUCGGGCACCGUUUGAUAAGUGUUAUUUAUCAGGUUUAAAUAUCGUUACUAUAUUUGCUUCAUGAAAAGAAUUCGAAGUUUCAGUCUCGUCUCAAAAAGCUCGCUGGAACUCCCCGUACUGAGGCCUUGCUGUGAUAUACUCGACGAUAAGGUUUUGCAGUUUUCCUGUGAAGUGUGCCUGCUGGUGAACUCACCUCCUCCUCCUCUUCCUGCCUCCUCGGCAACCUACUUGUGUGGGUUUUGGUAAACUGUAUUCCCCAAUAAAUAUUCUGUUUCA